UACAGGAUGCUGUUUUGUCACGUAUUUCACGCGUAAGGCUGCGUUGGACGCUCAGAAUGCUUUACACAACAUCAAAACGUUACCAGGAAUGCACCAUCCAAUUCAAAUGAAACCGGCUGACAGCGAAAAUCGAAGUG